rnacentral:rRNA from 1 species
GAUGAACGCUGGCGGUAUGCUUUACACAUGCAAGUCGUACGAGAGUUUUUAACUCUAGUGGCGGACGGGUGAGUAACACGUAAGAAUUUGCCUUUAGGAGGGGGAUAACAACUGGAAACGGUUGCUAAUACCCCAUAUGCUUUCGAGUGAAAUGGAUUUCCGCCUAAAGAGAAGCUUGCGGCUGAUUAGCUUGUUGGUGAGGUAAUGGCUCACCAAGGCGACGAUCAGUAUCUGGUUUGAGAGGACGAUGAGACACACUGGAACUGAGACACGGUCCAGACUCCUACGGGAGGCAGCAGUGGGGAAUUUUCCGCAAUGGGCGAAAGCCUGACGGAGCAAUACCGCGUGAGGGAUGAAAGCCUAUGGGUUGUAAACCUCUUUUUUCAGGGAGGAACAAAAUGACGUGUACCUGAAGAAUAAGCAUCGGCUAACUCCGUGCCAGCAGCCGCGGUAAGACGGGGGAUGCAAGUGUUAUCCGGAAUCACUGGGCGUAAAGCGUCUGUAGGUGGUUAAGUAAGUCAACUGUUAAAUCUUGAGGCUUAACCUCAAAAUCGCAGUCGAAACUGCUUGACUAGAGUAUAGUAGGGGUAAAGGGAAUUUCCAGUGGAGCGGUGAAAUGCGUAG